rnacentral:rRNA from 1 species
AUUGAACGCUGGCGGCAGGCCUAACACAUGCAAGUCGAGCGGAGCGGCGGACGGGUGAGUAAUGCCUAGGAAUCUGCCUGGUAGUGGGGGAUAACGUCCGGAAACGGGCGCUAAUACCGCAUACUAUCAGAUGAGCCUAGGUCGGAUUAGCUUGUUGGUGGGGUAACGGCUCACCAAGGCGACGAGCCCUAGCUGGUCGGAGAGGAUGACCAGCCACCCGGGAACGGAGACACGGUCCAGACUCCUACGGGAGGCAGCAGUGGGGAAUAUUGCACAAGGUGCGCAAGCCUUAUGCAGCCAUGCCGCGUGUAUGAAGAAGGCCUUCGGGUUGUAAAGUACUUUCAGCGUGGAGGCGUUACCCGCAGAAGAAGCACCGGCUAACUCCGUGCCAGCCGCCGCGGUAAUAC